rnacentral:rRNA from 1 species
AGUGAACGCUGGCGGUAGGCCUAACACAUGCAAGUCGAACGGCAACACAGUAAGAGCUUGCUCUUACGGGUGGCGAGUGGCGGACGGGUGAGGAAUACAUCGGAAUCUACUUUUUCGUGGGGGAUAACGUAGGGAAACUUACGCUAAUACCGCAUACGACCUACGGGUGAAAGCAGGGGAUCUUCGGACCUUGCGCGAUUGAAUGAGCCGAUGUCGGAUUAGCUAGUUGGCGGGGUAAAGGCCCACCAAGGCGACGAUCCGUAGCUGGUCUGAGAGGAUGAUCAGCCACACUGGAACUGAGACACGGUCCAGACUCCUACGGGAGGCAGCAGUGGGGAAUAUUGGACAAUGGGCGCAAGCCUGAUCCAGCCAUACCGCGUGGGUGAAGAAGGCCUUCGGGUUGUAAAGCCCUUUUGUUGGGAAAGAAAAGCAGCAGGUUAAUACCCCGCUGUUCUGACGGUACCCAAAGAAUAAGCACCGGCCAACUUCGUG